rnacentral:rRNA from 1 species
AACGAACGCUGGCGGCAUGCCUAACACAUGCAAGUCGAACGAGACCUUCGGGUCUAGUGGCGCACGGGUGCGUAACGCGUGGGAAUCUACCCUUGGGUUCGGAAUAACAGUUAGAAAUGACUGCUAAUACCGGAUGAUGACGUAAGUCCAAAGAUUUAUCGCCCAAGGAUGAGCCCGCGUAAGAUUAGCUUGUUGGUGGGGUAAUGGCCUACCAAGGCGACGAUCUUUAGCUGGUCUGAGAGGAUGAUCAGCCACACUGGGACUGAGACACGGCCCAGACUCCUACGGGAGGCAGCAGUGGGGAAUAUUGGACAAUGGGCGAAAGCCUGAUCCAGCAAUGCCGCGUGAGUGAUGAAGGCCUUAGGGUUGUAAAGCUCUUUUACCAGGGAUGAUAAUGACAGUACCUGGAGAAUAAGCUCCGGCUAACUCCGUG